UACGUAGGGUGCAAGCGUUGUCCGGAAUUAUUGGGCGUAAAGAGCUCGUAGGCGGUCUGUCGCGUCGGCUGUGAAAACUCGGGGCUCAACCCCGAGCCUGCAGUCGAUACGGGCAGACUAGAGUGCUGUAGAGGCAGGCGGAAUUCCGGGUGUAGCGGUGGAAUGCGUAGAGAUCCGGAAGAACACCGGUGGCGAAGGCGGCCUGCUGGGCAGUUGCUGACACUGAGGCGCGACAGCGUGGGGAUCAAACAGG
rnacentral:rRNA from 1 species